rnacentral:rRNA from 1 species
UUUAAAUUUAUUUAANUUGGCGGCAUUUUUUAAAUAGAGGAACUUGUUCUUUAAUUCGAUGAUCCCCGUUUAACCUUACUUUACUUCAAAAAUUUUUAUACCGUUGUUGAACCAAUUUCACAAUAAACCCUUUGCUCAAUAAUCCUUAAACAAGAUUCUAAAUUCAAAUCCAGGUAAAGUUCAUAAGUAAAGAAGAAAUUAGUUACUUUUUAUUGAUAAUAAAGCUACAACUAAACAAUUGCAAAACUUUAUUAUAGUAGGAUUUAUUUGUAAAGAAAAAUCAGAUAGUUUUCUUGAUAAAUAAAUAAAAAUGUGUACAUACCGCCCGUCGCUCGCGGGA